UUGCCUAGCUUCAACAAGGUAUUUAAUUGACCUAUUAUGACACAUACGCGUAGCUUGAAUAAAUUCCAGAUGAUAUGCCGUACGGUAAUAGGGAAAUGCUUAUUAUAAAGUUUACGACUUUGAAGCAUACAACCAGCCAAAGGACAAGCCAAUUGGGCGUGAAUUCAAAUGAUGGUCAGCAAAAUGACGUUAAUAACUAGUUAGGGUAAGCCUUAGAAACUGAGCUCGUGGCCAGCUGACGACCCAGUCCCCGAAGGCAACACAACUGAUGGACGACUGAUGACAUAAUAUGCAAAUAAUGCAAACACAUACACAGGUAAAUACACACACAAACACACACACGCACACACACGUGGUGCUGCACUAUAUAGUUUUUAGCUUGAUUUCUUCAGGGAAUUUCUCUGCAUGCCAGCUGACAAAAUGAACGACUAUAACACUUAGAGAAGUG